AUGGGCAGAAUGCCCAAUGCACCCAAAAUCUUCAGCCGCAAGCAAUGGCAGAUCCUUGGAGCAGUUUUAAUUCACAGUUCACAAGAGAUCAUCGGAAACUACUGCUUGCCAAACGGCAAGGGACAAACUUUGAGCACUUCCAAGGACGUGAAUAUACUCAAGCCAAUAAGAAAAUGCCGAGGGAUCAGACUACUAUAUGGCCUGCAAGUACAGAUGCGGCAUUCCACGCGCAGGAGAUACGUGCCACAAGGUCGGGCUUUGACCAAUGAGUUACACGACCGACAUACUCGACGAACAGGGCCACGGUUAGUUAUGCAGCCGUUGAGCUGUGCAAGCUUCUUGCUUGGGGUGGCCGUCCUAUCGGCCACCCUUGAGCCCUUCGUCGCCAUUGCGCACAGAGAGUUGCUGACGGCAACCGACAGCGUGAGAGGACCGGAAACCAGGCUGGAGCCCACUGUCGACAAAACCAUCACAGACGAGGGAAGCAGAAGCAAUGCACUGACAAGAGGAGAGAUGGUUCUUGGAGAUGCAGCCAUGGAGAAGACGGAUGAUAGAAGCACGUCAAGCUCAGCUGCAAAACAUUCUGUUGGACAAUGUGGGCAUGGAGGAGGGAAGGAUCUGAGUAUGGACUGUUAUUUUAGGAGCAGGAAACUUCAUCCAGGGGCUUACUUCGAUGGCCACAUACCCUUCACCGCUGAUUACCGUAGACCACGGAACCACCCGCCCAAGAACAACUAG
rnacentral:rRNA from 1 species